rnacentral:lncRNA from 1 species
UUCGCCGACCCCAUCUCGCUCCUAGCCUAGUAGUUUAAAGUCGCAGCACCACGACCCCCUUGUCCAUCUCUCCUAUACCAAACUGAGGGUUGCCAUAGACAGAGGAAGGUCGUCACCGUGUUGCCACCGACGUGAGAUCGCAGAGGAAGACACGGUGAUCGCCACCGAUUCAAUCGGUGUCGCGGCGCUAAUGGAGCCGUCGUUGGAAGGCAUCAGUGGGUGCUCUAGGAGUUGCCGAGGCUAUCAGUGCCUAGUCAUCCGCAAAGGAGAAGCAGGGCCCCGGGAAUCGCUCGACGAAACAGCAGCACCGCCGCGAUGCUGCUACUCUCUGCAGGCAAGGAUCUCCACACCAAAGAUCUAGGUGAGAACCCUUCCUUCUCUUUCGCUGUCUUCCCCGUAGCAUGUAGCACCUUUCGCAUCGAAGUUUGAGCCUGAGAGCGGGGAAUUCGGGGUUGCCGACCAUGGUGCCGUCGUCCAUGCUCGGGCGCCGCCGUGCGUGGCCGGUGUGAUGGGGGAAACGCUUUAGCCGUUGAUCUGAGGAGAUGCGGCUGGGAUUAGAAUUGCAUACUCGUUCGUCUGGGUUCGAUCUAGACCGUCGAUUGGGUGAUGUGGGAGUGAUAUUAGAUUUCUUUUAUUUUAAAUCGCGUUCGUCGAUCUCUCAUCGGAUGGCAGGCGUAUAGUACCAGUUCACUAAAUAUUUGAUCUAAUCUGGACCCUCCAUGUUGAAUCCAGCGGCUAUUAUUAUACAUUUUCGGCCAUACCGUUUUACUAAAGAGCCUCUACACUUUUAGGAAUUGAACUCACCGUCCAUCUAAGUUUAAAGAACAUAGCAGAUAGGUCCUAGUUUUUACAGUUUGGACCCGACUUCUCUACAAAUAAAACAUGGCGUCCUCUCUCCUAGUAAAAUAAAUAAAAUGAAUGAAGAAAUACAUGAAACCCUUAUAUAAUGAUUUUUCAGUGUGAAAUUAAUAUUAAAAUGCCUAGAAACUCAGAUAAUUCAUAGCUAAUUCGUUUUAACUCCGAUUUUAAUGGUUCUCGAACCUAGAGUUCCAUCUCGAUUUACAGAAUAUUAUUAUGAAGUUGUUCCCAUGUUUGGUGUGAUGUUAAUUUUUGUCUCUACAUUUUUUGUUUGAUUUGUUGCGAGUAGACGACCAAGUGGCCGGGAGACCCGAAGCACAUGAGGUUGAAGAUCCUGAGCAAGAGCUCGCAGAAGGCAAGUUGUGCCCUUGAUCACUUUUUU